rnacentral:rRNA from 1 species
UCGAGCACGCGCGUGUGGCAUAUCAAUAAGCGGAGGAAAAGAAACUAACAAGGAUUCCCCUAGUAACGGCGAGUGAAGCGGGAAGAGCUCAAAUUUGAAAUCUUCAAGGGUUCUACCUUGACGAAUUAUAGUUUAUAAGAAGUGUUUUCUGUUAGAUGAGGUGGCUAAAAGUUCUUUGGAAUAGGACAUCAUAGAGGGUGAGAAUCCCGUAUUUGGUCAUUCCUCCUAGCGUUGUGAUACACUUUCAACGAGUCGGAUUGUUUGGGAAUGCAGUCCAAAAUGGGGUGGUAAAUUUCAUCUAAAGCUAAAUAUUGGCGAGAGACCGAUAGCGAACAAGUACCGUGAGGGAAAGAUGAAAAGAACUUUGAAAAGAGAGUUAAACAGUACGUGAAAUUGUCAAAAGGGAAGCGUUUGACACCAGUGUUGUUUUUCCGAAAAUCAAUUACGAAUGUUUUAGUUUUUGAGGAGUUAUGACUUCAUCGGCUUGCUUCUCUCUUUAUGAAACUUUCUUAAUGCACUUUCCGGUUAACUAGUCAACAUCAAUUUCUUUUGUUGUAAAAGGGUAUGAGGAAGGUGGCUUUCUUUUCGGAGAAAGUGUUUAUAGCCUUGUACCUCUGCAAUCGGAGAGAUUGAGGUCUGCAGCGUAGAUCCUUCGGGGUUAGAUACAUUUGUGCUAAGCUAUAGUUCUUUAUAGACAACUUGUUGACUAUAGUCUAGUCCUGUAGCUUACUCGCUUAUGCUAUUUUACCUACGCUUAGGAUGUUGAGCGCAUGUCUCUCUCU